AUGACCACUGGCUCUCACGGUGGCUGGGAACCCUGGCGGGGAGGCCUGCGCCUCCUCAAGCUCCAGUCCCUCUGGAUGGGGCACCAAGAGGCACCCUGAGAACUCAGAGGACCCAGAGGCUCCCCUCAAGCAAAUUCCCUGCUGACCCUGGACACCCCUUGAAGGAGGGGGCAAGAGGCUGCCACAAGGCUCAUCUUAUAACUCCCAGCAAGGACUCCCAGCAAACAAGUUCAGCUUGGGAUCUGCCCACCACCAAGCCUGGCUGGGAGGUGGGGGGGAGCGAGGGGCGGUGGAGAGGCAGAGUCCCUGAACAGGGAAAAGACAAUCAGUUGUUCCCCUUUCUGGUGUCAGAGGCAAAGAAGCCUGAAGGGCUGGUGGUGGUGCUGGCUCUGGGUUUAUUGACUCUGUGAUCCUGUCCAGCUGUCCUACAGGGAGUUCCAGAGCUCUCCCAAAGUGCAUGAGGAACUGCACAAGUAGGACUGGGGCACAAUACCAGAAGCUAUUUGUCUCCUAGAACCUGGCACCCCCUCCACUUACCUUACAGGAGACCCACAUCACUCAGUUCCCAGGACACCUGGUGGGAGAGUCUGGUGAGAUUUGGAGGCAGACUUCCUCUACUCACAACUUGUUUGAAAAUGGACAUAAAGAGAAGAACAGACACUCCAUCGCCCCUUCAGGGCCUCCUUUGUGUCACAAAACCUAUCCCCUCCUAGGGCACCCUUGACAUUCCCCUAGGUGGGCCUACACAUUGUUCAGAACCUGUCCCCUGUACCAAAAUAAAUAUAAAUGAGUUUGUUUCUUUAAAAGAAAUAUUACAGCUUUAAACUUUUCCCAGCCGGAAUCCACCUAAUUUCAUCAAGGUCUCUCGCUAGCAGCCAUAACCCAGGCCAAAAGGGCUUGUCCCUAGGGAGGCACCAAAGGGAGAAUACCCCAGGCCCAUUUCAUUCCACUGAGGUUUUUGAACCCCUAGGUGUCUAAGGUAAUACCACCACCAUCCCCACCUGUUUUCAGUUCUUUCUUUGUGGCUUAAGAUUGCAUUUUUGGAGGGUUUAUGUAAUGUUGUUCACGUCAGCAAGUCUCCCUGCCCCACCCUCACCCCACUGUCCUAUAUGGAAUUAUAGUUGGAAACCACACACACAUAGAAAAUCUUUGAAGAUUUUUUUCUGCUAUUCUUCCUGACUAGAAGAGUUGACAAGACAUAGACACAUUCAGUUGCAUAAAAUACAGUAGCGUGAUCAGCCUAAAUGCAUCUCAUUUGCACUGUUUGUAACCAGGGGUGGGGGCUUGUGUCACUCAUUGCCUCCCCCUCCUCUGCCCAAACCAGACCCGCCAGCUGGAAUUUCAGAGCAGGCCCCAAGGCAGCAGCCAUUUGGGAAGUGGAAGCCCUAGCCCACCCCAGUCCAGCAGGGGUGCGGGGUGGAUAGAGAAGGUGUCUGGAGGUCUGGCCUGAGGGCUUGGACCAACUUUGGCAGACCUGGGCUCUGGGAGGCUUGGCCGGUGGGUGACCACAGCUGGAAGUUGGAGGUCUGCAGCGAUGCUUCUGAGCUUCUCCUGAGUUGAGUUCAAGAAAGGGGACACCAAGAAGUAGGGGAACAGUCACUGACUAUAUUUUACAUCCACGCCUACCCCUUUCCCAGAGUUGUGUUCUCACCACCCACUUUGUCGGCGGAGGAGAAACACUGCUGCCUGAUGCUUGCACUGCUGCACUGUUCUUGCACCUGCUCCUAGCCCUGAACUCGGGCCCUGAGCUCCUCACUGCCGCCCGCUCUGCGCUGAGCCCCACUCCUGAGACCGCGAGGUGCCAGAGCAGCGCCUCUCCCACCAACUCCUAGACGCCUGUAGGAGCUGCGCCGGAGCCUUCAGAACCCCAUGGGGGUGUGGGGGUGAAGUUGGAGGUCAUCCGGGUGAUUUUUUUCUUACUUUUUCCUAAUUGUUCUCCUGCGUUGAUUUCAACUCUUCCAGUCUCCCGGUGCUGGGGCGCCAAUCCUUUCCCAACAAUUCCUACCCACCAGCUGGAGGUCGGGGCCCAGGGUUACCCCAGAGUUCUAUGGUGGCAGGGGGCGCCGAGUAGAGGGGCGGGAGGAGCUGGGUCCUCGGGAACCAAAGGGGACCUCAGCGGGGGCGGAGUGCGCAGCCUUGGCUGCUGGGAAAUGCCCAACUAGCCGCUGUGAGUGCCCACAGCGCGUCGUGGGGGCGUCCGUUCUGCAGCUCGGGUGACUCAGACGCCCUGCCAACCCCACCAGCUCCCGGCUUCUCGAACGCUCUUCUGAUCGCCCAGCGGGGAGACUUCAGGGCCUGCCUCGUCAGGCCAGAUUGCAGCCCGCGACCUUCCCGGAUUAACCAAGGGCGGGGCCUGUUGCCCAGCAAGGCUGCUGCCUAACUGAGCCUCCCGGGGAACAGCCAUGACCAAAGCCCCGCGGGCCCAGGCGCGGGCACCUACCCCUACCCGCUCAGGCCUGUGGGAGCGCAGGGGCAGAGGCCGAGACGCUGGACUUCCAGCCCCACACCUCUGACAACCCGGGCACGUCUGCGGAGCCCGGGGGAACAGUCAGCGGGCUCUGCGUCCCGGGAGCUGGGGACACGCCUGCAAGGGCUUUCCGCCUGCACACAGUCAUUUGGAGAAAAUCAAGUGAGUGCACUUCUCCCCACAGAGGAUUCUGUAUGUUAUGUAACACACUCACACUGGGAUUCCUCAAGUUACCAUUUUGCCCCAACUCAGCCAGCACUUGGUUUUCUGGCGGGGGUGUCAGGAUGAUGCAAAUGGAGGUGGAAGCUUCAUUCCCUGGGGGCUUUUAUUCCCCUCCUUGAAGCCCCAGUUCAAGGCCCAGGAACAAAGGGGAAAGUGUGCAAUGUUCCAGCCGACUUAAUGGGCUUGCCUUAUGCGGAGAGGCAGUCCUGCAGGACAGAGCUAAUGUGUGGUCUCCCAGGAAGCUCAUCAGAACACCUCUUGUCCCUUUUCUUUAAAAGAAAAAAAAUUUAAAAAGUUUUUGCUUCCAUCUCAAUGUCCAUUCCAUUAUUUUGUAGCUACAAUAAAGAAACAUGGGCAGCAGUGAUCAUUCUUUUUGUCCUAUGUAAUCAUGUCUAGUGUUAGGACCUUACAAAGCUCCAGACAUACCUCAGGUGUAUUCUGCACUUUUCAUAUUUAUUCACUGCUCACUGGGUCACACAGAUGAUUCACACUUGAUUCCACCUUCCUCUGGACAACUCUCCCUCAAACAACACCCCUCUAUCAACUUAUAGGGAAAGGAGAUUCACUUAGAGAAAACUUCUUGAAUUAAAGACCAGACUCAGUUUCGCCAGGUAACUAAUCCUGGCAUACCGGUGACUAGGAAGUCAUCACCUAACACUCUACCUAGAUAUAAACUCUCAGGAAGGAGGCAGGCCGGUGGGGACAUUUCCACAGACAUUUCUAAAACUGUGGCAAUUGAGUAUAUUUUACAGAUACAAUUUUGGUAGAUUCCCAUCCAGCUUAAGACAUUUAAAAUGCAAUUUUGUUCACACGCAUGUGCGCGCACACAGACACACACGCACGUGUCAACUAGGGUGAUAUUAACAGUCCAUUUCCACUGGGCAAUUCUGUGACAGCAACUACAACUAACAAACUUCUUUUCUGAAGAGUAAAAAAGAAAACAAAAGCCUCUCCAUCUAUUUUAAAAGGUUAUUUUAUAUUGUUUAGCAUUCUUUCGAAACAGGAAUUGGCUGGACACUUCUCCCUUUUCAAAGAUCAGGUAAACUACUCUCCCACCCACCUCCUCCCCAAGACCAAGCCAUUUUUUAAAGCAAAAAUUCUGUUUCCAAAGGAAGAAAAAUGAACAAAUUCCAUUAAUGAAUUACAUACAUGGAAUGUGGCUUGUCUAGGACAUUUGUAUUUGUAAAUAAAUGGCUCCCUGUUUAUUAUGUAUGUUUUACUGGAAAAAAAACCAACUCUAAUGCCUCUGAGCAUGUUAUAAUACAGCAAAUAUUUCCACUUAUGGUUUCAGUUCCACUGUUUCUUGGUACUCACUAGAAAGAAAUCGGGUUACAUGGAGUCAGUUGUGGGGUUUAAGCGUCCAGGCUGACUUGGGGACGCGGCACCUCUAAAGUUCUCAUGUUUGCCAAAGUGCGGGGGGAAGGGGGAAUGGCUCCUAGGAAUCUUAUGGGGAUUAAUCUGGGGUUUCGCCUUUGUCCCGGGAUCUUUCUAAGGCUCACCACGGCCUCCGUCUGCAGCUUCAGAAGCGAAGCCGGCGUGCGAUCUCCUUGGCGGGCGGACUGGGCACAGUCCCUGCCUUGCCCUGCUGCCGGCGCCCGCACACCGCGGUCUCAGGAUCUCCCCGCAGGCCUAGGCCUGCAGUCCUCGGGCGGAGACGGGGCCUGGGGGAGCGACCCUCACCGGGCCAGGCACAGGCAGUUUACCCUGGUGCCUGUAGGGUGCUCGAGUUUCCCACACGCGGGAAGCGGAGGCGUGGGCCAAGCGCCGGGGGCUGCCCAAGAACUCCACCGCCCCGUGCGGCGCGCAGGGCCUGGCGGCGCGAAACUUCCACAAAGCCGCCGGCCGCCUCCGGCCUUGCCUCCACUCCGCAGUCCCAGCUGCCUAGACCUCGGUGUCUUCCCAGACAAUGAGCCCUGCCAGUGCACUAGGCUGUUCCGCUCUGACUUCUUCUGCCCGCACAUGGGGACCCGAGCGAAAGGUUAUGGGUUGGAACAAGUCAGCGCAUCUCCUUCCACGCGCCGCAUCCUUCGGGAAGACAAACAGAGUACGCCCCCCACCUCAAUUUCGGGCCCUGGUCUGUGGGCUGGGCCACAGUCCGGGAAGACCCAAGGGGUCACGGGUCCAGAUCCGUCUUUACUUUGUCCUCCGCUCCAGGGCUCCAGGGCCCUGGGCAGCAGAGAGGUGGAUUUCAGAGAAAGCCCGGGUCAGCCAGGCCUUGAACUCAGCCCCUCUGAACUCCACCGUCAGCAGCGUGGGCGGCAACUCAAUUCUCCUGGGAGGAGGCUGCACCCCCAGAACGGAAAAUCCGCAAACGUCGCGCAGAGACCCACAGGCAUUUCUACCUUUCCUUCCACAAGCCCUGCAGAAAGUUAUCGCCAGAACCUCUGGAACCUGAGCCGACUCCAGCCUCCAGCAACUCCCUCAACCUUCCAGGGAAACUUUCAGAAGUUUCCCUUUCCUUCGCUCCUCAAUUCCUUGGACUUUCUCCAGCCCCCAGGUUUGCUCAUUACUCUGCUGACUGCCCUUUAGUCUCUAGGGCUCCACAGGCCUGAGCGUUUCCAGAAUAAUAAUAAUAAUAAUAAUAAUAAUAAUAAUAAUAAUAAUAAUAAUUGUUAUUAUGAGGCUGGGGAAGAACAGGAUCAGAGGGUAGGAGGGACUGAGGGAGAGAGUGGACAUGUUUAUGAAAAGGUUUAUUUAAACCUGUGUUUCAAAAGGGUUCAGUUGACAAUUAUCAGUAACCCCGAUAGACAACUCCAUUAAAAAAAAAAAGAAUUUACUAUUGCUCUUGAAAGCCGUUAUUUUUUCCAUCGCUUUUUAGGAAGAUAGAUGAACAAAACAUCGCGUUUCAAGCCAUUUUGAUCUGUAAUUGAAAGGCAGGAUCGGUUUGUAUUCUCCUACGGCUUUUACAGAAGUUGCAGUGAUCCAAAGUCGGGUUGCUGUGUCAGAGUGGCAUUUUUAUUAAUGAGAAUACAAAAAGCUUGCAUAUUCUUAGCCCUGCUUGAAUUUAGUUGCUAAGCAACGGGUGUAUGGUAAUUCAUCCGCGAAAUUUAAAUCUUUGAGAAAGGUUCGUGCGUUUUGCUGAAUGGUCGCCACGAGGAAAACAACUUGUGGGACCCACAGCAGCUGCCACAGUCUGGCCGCCCGGCCGUGCCGGGCCGAGCAGGGACCCGGCCGCCCCACCGCGACCGGCUGCAAAGUUCAGGAUGCAAACGCAGAGGCUUCUGCUUUCCUUAUUGAAAUCAACGUCAAGCCUACCGUGAGGAUCCUGCACCCAGGAGGUCACAUGGGUGAACUUCAGGCCCUCAGACCAGCAGCCCUGAGGAGCUGAGAUGACCAACCGACCUACAGAACUUGGAGAGCCUGAGAGGUUGCCCCACGCUUCUCACAUGCGUCACUCAACAACAACAACAGCAGCAGCAGCAACAACAACGACAACAACACCUGUGCUGAUUGCUUAUGCUGUUAGUAGCUGGACUAGGACAAAGGGCUUCUCCACUCACAGUCAUUUUAUAGAUCAUCUAAUUUUUUUUCUUCAGUCUAGCACAACUCUUCUUUUUUCACAUCACCUUGUUUCUGGGUCACUGAUAACCUCAAACUCCCAACUCUUAUUACAACUCCCUUUCCCAACGUAGAUGUCUGAGCACAGUCAGGUAUUAGGUUAUCACUGAAACAUAGCAUCUGCUCUAAUCCUUGCAGCCAGCCACGUGCAUUUCAUGAAAGAAGAAAAUUCUUUAAUUUCUGUCUUUCUGCCUUAAAAAAACAAUCAGGUCCACCUUUUAAAUAAUUAAUUUCAAGUCUGCAUCCAGUGCCAAUACUUGUUGCAUCCAUUUUAGAGUUGAUUAAUUACCCUGGAACUUGGGCAAACUAAACUCCAUGUGGAGAGAAUGUUUCUUCCUUCAAUUUAGUACUGAAAGCUACAAGUUAUUAAUGGAUUUUACUCAAUUUACAUACAAAUUAGUGCAAAUAUGCCCGUCUCUUAAAGUACAUUUUUGUAUAAAUAUAUAAAAGUAUCAUUUUUGAUUUAGCUUGAAGAGGUUGAUCAUUUAUUACAAAAAUAAACGAAUAAAUACAACAAUAUAUUGUUGCUUUCAACAGGAUAAAUACUUUACAAAUAUAUAAUUUAAAAAACAAAUUUAAUUGUUAAAAUUAUUUAAAAUAUUACACUUAUCGAUAAAACUAUCAAUAGUAUAUACUGCAUUUAAUAUUAGAACCAAUUAUUCUCUGAAUGUUCAAAACCAUUCAUACAAAACAGAUUAUGAGCAUGGUCAUGAGCAAACACUGGAGGCUACAGGGCAGCAAAGGGAAUCGCUAAGAUCAAUAACGAACAGUUCUCUUCGGAACAAAGAAGUAGUCCUUGGCUAAGUACUAAAAAAAAAAAAAAAAAAAAAAAAAAAAAGGCAGAGCAACAAUAGCAAAGUGACUAUUUUCAAUACACCUUGAAUGAUUUAUCGCACAGACUUGCCAGGGGAAGAUGGUUGUGGGAGCGACGGAGGCUUGGACAACUGAUCAAGAGCCACAGGAGACUGUAAACUGUAAGUGGGCCUAGCUUGGGAUUAGCAAGGCUGAUGGAACAGAACUUUGUCACUUUCCUUUGGGUUGGAAGGGGAGGGGGGGUUGGAUUGAAAUGGAGGAAACAAAUGGGCACUUUACGAAGCACAAGACACUUGCACUGCAAAGGAACACAAUGACCAAAUUCAUUAAAAAGAUCUGGUGAUAUAUAACAAUA
rnacentral:lncRNA from 1 species